rnacentral:piRNA from 1 species
CGCGGACGGAAGCCUCAGGUGUG